rnacentral:lncRNA from 1 species
GGAGAUUUGACUCCUUUAUUUUUUUUUAAAGCGCAGCUACGAGGGGAGGGCGCCAGGAGAAAUCCCCACUCGUUGCUGUUUCGUCUCCUUUUGAUGUCCGACUCAAUGCGAAAUUUGCGAACUCGCACCACCCCGAUCCGGCUUCGCUCCUUCUUCUUGAAGUCCUGGGUCGGACAGUAUCGCAGAUUAAGACUGAUGCCUCGGGAGCAGGAUGGGGGAAGCUGAAGAAGAGCAAAAAUUAUCUCGCAGAGUCCAUAACCGGGACCGGCCGCAAACCGCUGCUUUCCAAGUGCGUGUUUCCCCGCGAAGUUUGUCUGGGACACAUUUGUUAAAGGUUUAGCACCUCUCUCUUGUUUGAAAAAGAAACUACAAAAGCCCAUUGGAAAAGCGGGGUGUUAAACUGAAGAAUGUAUGUGAUGGUGAUUUAUGACCCUACAAAGUUUUUUGUUUACUUGAAGCAGACCCUAAUUACAAGGGCUUCUUAAAAAAAAAAAAAAAAAANAAAAAAAAAUAUUUCCCAAGCUCUGGGUAUGUCCAUAGCGGGUUUUCCCUCCCCAGGUCUGGGUGUAGUGGCCAGAUGUGACUAAGGAACAUCUGGUUAGUUGAGCUGAUUUUCCUUUUAGCCGGCCAGUGCAUAUAACCGAAAUGGGUCCCUUCUCCCCUAUGCCCAGCUCGUUCUCCAGCACCAGCCGGGUCCCGGAUUCAGUUCUUCUCCUUUCUCAAAGUCCACCGCUGCCUCGUAUUUGCUGGACCAGACAUCCGAGAACUGGUCAGCUUCCAAUAGACAGCUGGAAACGGCCUGUCACGUGGCCUUGGGGUGCCAAUGUUCUGCCAUAGGGGUGUCAAGACCCUGGUAGCCGGAAAAAU